rnacentral:rRNA from 1 species
GAUGAACGUUGGCGGCGUGCCUAACACAUGCAAGUCGAACGCUAGUAGCAAUAUUAGAGUGGCGCACGGGUGAGUAACACGUAGCUUACCCACCUCCCAGCGCGGGAUAACGGUUCGAAAGAACUGCUAAUACCGCAUAAGCUCACGGCCUGUAGAGGGCUGCGAGAAAAGGCGCAAGUCACUGGGAGACGGGGCUGCGGCCCAUCAGCUCGUUGGUGAGGAACGGCUUACCAAGGCGACGACGGUAGGGGACCUG